UACGAAGGGGGCUAGCGUUGUUCGGAAUUACUGGGCGUAAAGCGUGCGCAGGCGGUGAUGUAAGACAGUUGUGAAAUCCCCGGGCUCAACCUGGGAACUGCAUCUGUGACUGCAUUGCUGGAGUGCGGCAGAGGGGGAUGGAAUUCCUGGUGUAGCAGUGAAAUGCGUAGAUAUCAGGAGGAACACCGAUGGCGAAGGCAGGUCUCUGGGCUGACACUGACGCUCAUGCACGAAAGCGUGGGGAGCGAACAGG
rnacentral:rRNA from 1 species